AGUGAACGCUGGCGGUAGGCCUAACACAUGCAAGUCGAACGGCAGCACAGUAAGAGCUUGCUCUUACGGGUGGCGAGUGGCGGACGGGUGAGGAAUACAUCCGAAUCUACUUUUUCGUGGGGGAUAACGUAGGGAAACUUACGCUAAUACCGCAUACGACCUACGGGUGAAAGCAGGGGAUCUUCGGACCUUGCGCGAUUGAAUGAGCCGAUGUCGGAUUAGCUAGUUGGCGGGGUAAAGGCCCACCAAGGCGACGAUCCGUAGCUGGUCUGAGUGGAUGAUCAGCCACACUGGAACUGAGACACGGUCCAGACUACUACGAGAGGCAGCAGUGGGGAAUAUUGGACAAUGGGCGCAAGCCUGAUCCAGCCAUACCGCGUGGGUGAAGAAGGCCUUCGGGUUGUAAAGCCCUUUUGUUGGGAAAGAAAAGCAGCAGGUUAAUACCCCGCUGUUCUGACGGUACCCAAAGAAUAAGCACCGGCUAACUUCGUG
rnacentral:rRNA from 1 species